UCUGAUACUACUACAACUGCAUUGACAUCUGGUAGUACUACUACAAUUGCGCUGACAUCUGGUACUACUACAAUUGCAUCGUCAUCUGGUACUACUACAAUUG
rnacentral:lncRNA from 1 species